GGAGAGAUGCGAGAGUGGUUGAAUCGGGCGGUCUCGAAAACCGUUGAACUCGCAAGAGUUCCGAGGGUUCGAAUCCCUCUUUCUCCG
rnacentral:tRNA from 1 species